rnacentral:rRNA from 1 species
GAUGAACGCUGGCGGCGUGCCUAACACAUGCAAGUCGAGCGAAGCACUUUGCUUAGAUUCUUCGGAUGAAGAGGAUUGUGACUGAGCGGCGGACGGGUGAGUAACGCGUGGGUAACCUGCCUCAUACAGGGGGAUAACAGUUAGACAUGACUGCCAAUACCGCAUAAGACCACAGCACCGCAUGGUGCGGGGGUAAAAACUCCGGUGGUAUGAGAUGGACCCGCGUCUGAUUAGCUAGUUGGUAAGGUAACGGCUUACCAAGGCGACGAUCAGUAGCCGACCUGAGAGGGUGACCGGCCACAUUGGGACUGAGACACGGCCCAAACUCCUACGGGAGGCAGCAGUGGGGAAUAUUGCACAAUGGGGGAAACCCUGAUGCAGCGACGCCGCGUGAGCGAAGAAGUAUUUCGGUAUGUAAAGCUCUAUCAGCAGGGAAGAAAAUGACGGUACCUGACUAAGAAGCACCGGCUAAAUACGUGCCAGCAGCCGCGGUAAUACGUAUGGUGCAAGCGUUAUCCGGAUUUACUGGGUGUAAAGGGAGCGUAGACGGAUGGGCAAGUCUGAUGUGAAAACCCGGGGCUCAACCCCGGGACUGCAUUGGAAACUGUUCAUCUAGAGUGCUGGAGAGGUAAGUGGAAUUCCUAGUGUAGCGGUGAAAUGCGUAGAUAUUAGGAGGAACACCAGUGGCGAAGGCGGCUUACUGGACAGUAACUGACGUUGAGGCUCGAAAGCGUGGGGAGCAAACAGG